UACGUAGGCAGCAAGCGUUGUUCGGAGUUACUGGGCGUAAAGAGCGUGUAGGCGGUUAGGUAGGUCCGUUGUGAAAACUCGAGGCUCAACCUCGAGACGCCGGCGGAAACCAUCAGGCUAGAGUCCGGAAGAGGAGAGUGGAAUUCCUGGUGUAGCGGUGAAAUGCGCAGAUAUCAGGAGGAACACCGGUGGCGAAGGCGGGUCUCUGGGCCGAUACUGACGCUGAGGAGCGAAAGCGUGGGGAGCGAACAGG
rnacentral:rRNA from 1 species